GACGAACGCGGGCGGCGUGCUUAACACAUGCAAGUCGAACGAAAAUACCAAGCUUGCUUGGUUGAUUAGUGGCGAACGGGUGAGUAACACGUGAGUAACCUGCCCCUUACUUUCCUGGAUAACUGCUCGAAAGGGUAGCUAAUACGGGAUAUUCUGACCAGUCUGCAUGGGUUGGUUUGGAAAGGUUGUUUUUCUGGUAAGGGAUGGGCUCGCGGCCUAUCAGCUUGUUGGUGGGGUGAUGGCCUACCAAGGCUUUGACGGGUAGCCGGCCUGAGAGGGUGGACGGUCACACUGGGACUGAGAUACGGCCCAGACUCCUACGGGAGGCAGCAGUGGGGAAUAUUGCACAAUGGGCGCAAGCCUGAUGCAGCGACGCCGCGUGAGGGAUGAAGGCCUUCGGGUUGUAAACCUCUUUCGUCAGGGAACAAGGCACUACGUUUUGGUGGUGUUGAGGGUACCUGGAUAAGAAGCGCCGGCUAACUACGUGCCAGCAGCCGCGGUAAUACGUAGGGCGCAAGCGUUGUCCGGAAUUAUUGGGCGUAAAGAGCUUGUAGGCGGCUGGUCGCGUCUGUCGUGAAAACUUCCGGCUCAACCGGGGGCUUGCGGUGGGUACGGGCCGGCUAGAGUGCGGUAGGGGUAACUGGAACUCCUGGUGUAGCGGUGGAAUGCGCAGAUAUCAGGAAGAACACCGAUGGCGAAGGCAGGUUACUGGGCCGUUACUGACGCUGAGGAGCGAAAGCGUGGGGAGCGAACAGG
rnacentral:rRNA from 1 species